AGAAAGCAUUAAUUGCCUGAGGUCACCCAGUGGGUUUCCAUGACUGAACAGAGAUUCAAACUCAGGCCUCCAAGAUUCCUGGUUCAACACUCAAAGCACAACACCAAGAUGGUUCUUUUAUUUAAGCUCCCUGACAACUCCAAACUCUGCUCUGGAGGAAUGGGAAACCUUCUGGAAUGAUCUUUUAGGCAGCUCUGAACUGGGCAUGGGGAGGAGGGAAGACAUAUGGAUGACUACACUGCCAUCCCAGCAUAUGGGUGUUCAUCCAAACAGAGAGCUGGACAUAAUAUUGUCAGGUUUUCAAAACAGCAAUAAGAGAAAGACAAAAUUAAUUAUAUGCAGGACUUGUAAUCAGCCAGCAGCUAUUAAAGUUUGUGUUCUAUCUAAAUAUCAAAUGCAAGUAUUGAUUUCAGUUAAGGCAGGUCAUGUGUUUAUAAGUUGUUUUAAUGUGGUGUUUUAAAAUUUGUCUUGAACUUUUUGUAAACGUUUUUAGUGAGCCAUGGAAGCCACCUUGGGUCAUGACUUAGGAGACAGGUGGUAGAUAUAUAAAUAAAAUGAAAUAAAAU